GAUGAACGCUGGCGGCGUGCCUAAUACAUGCAAGUCGAGCGAAUGGAUUGAGAGCUUGCUCUUAUGAAGUUAGCGGCGGACGGGUGAGUAACACGUGGGUAACCUGCCCAUAAGACUGGGAUAACUCCGGGAAACCGGGGCUAAUACCGGAUAACAUUUUGAACCGCAUGGUUCGAAAUUGAAAGGCGGCUUCGGCUGUCACUUAUGGAUGGACCCGGGUCGCAUUAGCUAGUUGGUGAGGUAACGGCACACCAAGGCAACGAUGCGUAGCCGACCUGAGAGGGUGAUCGGCCACACUGGGACUGAGACACGGCCCAGACUCCUACGGGAGGCAGCAGUAGGGAAUCUUCCGCAAUGGACGAAAGUCGGACGGAGCAACGCCGCGUGAGUGAUGAAGGCUUUCGGGUCGUAAAACUCUGUUGUUAGGGAAGAACAGGUGCUAGUUGAAUAAGCUGGCACCUUGACGGUACCUAACUAGAAAGCCACGGCUAACUACGUGCCAGCCGCCGCGGUAA
rnacentral:rRNA from 1 species